rnacentral:lncRNA from 1 species
GAUCUUAUGCUUGUCAGUCCUGCUGAGCAUUCAGGCCACUUACAGACUCCAAGAAGAGUCCUGUCAGCCACGGCUCUGACUUGUUGGCCCUCCCGGCAUUUAUUUAGCACACAUUUAAUGACAGAAGUCUCAGGCUGGAAACACUCUUUUUGUAGAACAUACAAAUGGACAUUUCUAAGCACAUUGAGGCCUAUAAUGAAAAAUCAAAUAUCCCACAAUGAAAACUAGAAGGAAGCUAUCUGUGAUAAUGCUUUGUGGUGUAUGGAUUCAUCUCACUGACUGAAACCUGAGUUUUGAUUCACCAGGUUGGAAACCUUCUUUUUGUAAAACCUACAGUGGGACAUUUCUGAGCUCAUUGAGGCUUGUAGUGAAAAACUGAAUUUCCUGCAAUAAAAACCGAAAACAGGUUAUCUGUGAAAGUGAUUUGUGAUGUGCAGAUUCAUCUCAUGAAAAUAAACCUCUGCUUUGAUUGAAUAAAUGGGAAGAACUUUUUUGUAGAAAUUUCUGAGCUCCUUUAGGUCUAUAGAAAAAUAAUCUAAUAUCCUGCAAACAAAACUAGAAACAAGCUACAUGUGAAGGUGCUUUCUGAUGUGUGAAUUCAUCUCACCAAAUGAAACUCGUGUUUUGAUUUAGUAGGUUGAAAACAAUCUUUUUGAAGAAUAUACGAAGGGACAUUACUGAGCUUAUUGAGGCUUAUAUUGAAAAACUGAAUAUCCCACAAAAUAAACUAGAAACAAGUGAUCUGUGAAAAUAGUUGGCCAUGUGUAAAUUUAUCUCACACAGUUAAACCCUUUUUUUUGACUCAACAAAUUAGAACUCUUUUUGUAGAAUCUAUGAAGGGACAUUUCUGAGCUCAUUGAGGCCUAUCGUGAAAAACUGAAUAUCCCGUGAUGAAAACUAGAAAGAAGCUAUCUGUGAAAAUAUUUAGCAAUGUGUUCUUUCAUCUCACAGAGUUAAAUCUUUUUUUUUUUUUUUGAUUCACCAUAUUGGAAAUACUCUUUUUGUAGAAUCUACAAAGAAACAUUUCUGAGCCCAUUGAAGCCUAUAGUAAACAAACAAAUAUUCUGCAGUUGAAACUAUAAACAAUCUCUUUGAAAAUGCCUUGUGAUGUGUGGAUGCAUCUCAUUAAAAGGAGCCUGUGUUUUGAUUCACCAGAUUGGAAACACUUUUUUGUAGAAUAUACGAUGGGAUGUAUCUGAGCCCAUUGAGGCCUAUAGUAAAAAAUGGAAUAUCUUGCAAUAAAAAGCUAGAAAUGAGCUAUCUUUGAAUAUGCUUUCUGAUGUGUGGAUUCAUCUCACAGAGUUACACCUUAUUUUUGACUCACCAAGAUGGAAAUACUUUUUUUGUAGAAUCUAUGAUAGGACAUUUCUGAGUCUAUUGAUGUGUAUAGUGCCAAACAGAAUAUCCCACAAUAAAAACUAGAAACAAGCUAUCUGGGAAAAUGCCUUGUGAUGUUUUCAUUCAUCUUACAGAGUUAAACCAUUGUUGUAAUUAAACAGGUUGGAAACACUCUCUUUGUAGAAACUACGAAUUGACAUUUCUGAGCCCUUUGAGGCCUACAGUGAAAAACAGAAUAUUCAGUGAUUAAAAUUAAAAACUUUCUGUCUGUGAAAAUGCUUUGUGAUGUGUGGAAGCAUCUCAUAGAGUUAAACCUUUGUUUUGGUUCAACAGGUUGGAAACACUUUUUUAGUAGAAUCUAUGAGAAAAUCUUUGUGAACCCAAUGAGGCCUCUGUGUGUGUGUUUGUGUGUGGGGGGGUGGGGGGGCGGGAAACAACGAGGAUUUCAUGAUGGAAACUGGAAAGAACCAUCUGUGAAAAUGGUUUGUGAUGUGGGGAUUCACCUCACAGAAUUAAACCUUUGGUUUGAUAGAACAGAUUGAAAACACUGUUUUUGUACAAUCUAAAAAGAGACAUUUCUGAGCCCAUUGAAGCCUGAAGUGAAAAACCAAGGGUCUCACAAUAAAAACGAAUUACAAGCUAUCUGUGAAAAUGCUUAGCAAUGUCCGGAUUCAUCUCACUGAAUAGACCCUGUGUUUUGAUUCACCAGGUUGGAAACUCUUUCUGCAGAAUCUGCAAAGAAAUAUUUCUGAGCCCAUUGAGGCCUACAGUGGAAAACUGAAUAUUCUGUGAUAAAACUAGAAACACCCUAUCUGUGAAAAUGCUUUGUGAUGUGUGGAUUUUCCUCAUCAAAUGGAACCUGUGUUUUGACUCACAAGGGUGAAACAUUAUUUUAGUAGAAUCUAGGAAGAAACAUAUCUGAGCCCAUUUAUGCCUACAGGGAGAAACUGAAUACCCUGCAAUAAAAAGUAGACAGAAGCUAUUUGUAAAAAUGCUUUGUGAUGUGCAGAUUCAUCUAACAGUGUUAAACUUUUAUUUUGAUUCCACAGUUUUGACACCCUAUUUGUAGAAUAUAUGAAUGAACAUUUCUCAGCCCAUUGAGGCCUAUCAUGUGAAACCAAAUAUUUUAUAAUAAAAACUGGAAACAAGUG